AGAGUUUGAUCCUGGCUCAGAAUCAACGCUGGCGGCGCGCUUAACACAUGCAAGUCGCACGAGAAAGGGGAGCAAUCCCUGAGUACAGUGGCGUACGGGUGAGUAACACGUGGAUGAUCUACCUUCUAGUGGGGAAUAACCCUGGGAAACCGGGGCUAAUACCGCAUAAGCUCGAGAGAGGAAAGCAGCAAUGCGCUGGAAGAGGAGUCCGCGGCCGAUUAGCUAGUUGGCAGGGUAAAAGCCUACCAAGGCAGAGAUCGGUAGCCGGCCUGAGAGGGCACACGGCCACACUGGCACUGAAACACGGGCCAGACUCCUACGGGAGGCAGCAGUGGGGAAUCUUGCACAAUGGGGGAAACCCUGAUGCAGCGACGCCGCGUGAGCGAUGAAGCCCUUCGGGGUGUAAAGCUCUUUCGGCAGGGAAGAUGGUGACGGUACCUGCAGAAGCAGCUGCGGCUAACUACGUGCCAGCAGCCGCGGUAAUACGUAGGCAGCGAGCGUUGUUCGGAGUUACUGGGUGUAAAGGGCGUGUAGGCGGGAAUGUAAGUCAGAUGUGAAAUCCCAGAGCUUAACUCUGGAGCUGCAUCUGAAACUAUGUUUCUUGAGUGUCGGAGAGGAAAGCGGAAUUCCUAGUGUAGCGGUGAAAUGCGUAGAUAUUAGGAGGAACACCAGUGGCGAAGGCGGCUUUCUGGACGAUAACUGACGCUGAGGCGCGAAAGCGUGGGGAGCAAACAGGAUUAGAUACCCUGGUAGUCCACGCUGUAAACGAUGGAUACUAGGUGUAGGGGGUAUCGACCCC
rnacentral:rRNA from 1 species